CGGCCCUUCAGAUGUUUUGGACUACAUCUCCCAUAAUGCUCUUACAGCAAUAAGGGAGAUGUAGUCCACAACAUCUGGAGGGCCA